UUUCCUUCAUUUUGAGCUCCUUCUGGAUUCUGUUUGAGGGAUAGUUCAUGGUGGGAAGCAUAAAUUAAUUCUGUGUAAGAAUGCCAGUUUUAAACAACUUGUUGCUUCCUCUAGCAUCAUGUUACCUGUCUCCUGGUACAUCA